UACGAGAGGCCCAAACGUUAUUCGGAAUUACUGGGCUUAAAAGAGUUCGUAGGCGGUAUGACAAGUAGGGUGUGAAAGCCCUCGGCUUAACCGAGGAAUUGCGCUCUAAACUGUCGUACUCGAGGAACCUAGAGGUGAGCAGAACAGAUGGUGGAGCGGUGAAAUGCGUUGAUAUCAGUCUGGAAUACCGGAGGCGAAGGGCGGCUCACUGGGGGUUUCUGGACGC
rnacentral:rRNA from 1 species